GACGAACGCUGGCGGCGUGCUUAACACAUGCAAGUCGAACGGAAAGGCCCUGCUUUUGUGGGGUGCUCGAGCGGCGAACGGGUGAGUAACACGUGAGUAACCUGCCCUUGACUUUGGGAUAACUUCAGGAAACUGGGGCUAAUACCGGAUAGGAGCUCCUGCUGCAUGGUGGGGGUUGGAAAGUUUCGGCGGUUGGGGAUGGACUCGCGGCUUAUCAGCUUGUUGGUGGGGUAGUGGCUUACCAAGGCUUUGACGGGUAGCCGGCCUGAGAGGGUGACCGGCCACAUUGGGACUGAGAUACGGCCCAGACUCCUACGGGAGGCAGCAGUGGGGAAUAUUGCACAAUGGGCGGAAGCCUGAUGCAGCAACGCCGCGUGCGGGAUGACGGCCUUCGGGUUGUAAACCGCUUUCGCCUGUGACGAAGCGUGAGUGACGGUAAUGGGAAAAGAAGCACCGGCUAACUACGUG
rnacentral:rRNA from 1 species